rnacentral:lncRNA from 10 species
GGGAGAGGUUAUUUCCCCACCGUGUUCAGGGACAACCCUGUGAUCAUGGUUUUGGUCACAUAGCUUCCAAGUGAGUGUUGUGCAAACAUUUGCUAGGAUCUCUCGGGGAGCCUGUUAGAAAAGAAACUCCUGAGCCUGCUCCAGAGCUUCUGUUCAGCAGGCCUGAGGUGGGACCAUACACCUGUCUUUUCAGCAAGCCCCCCCCCACCUCUGAGGAUGCACCCCAAAGCUAGAGAAUUCCUGCUCUGAGCCAUCUCUGAAAGCACCAAGAGCCAGGGCCAGGGAAGCUGGGCUGGAGGAAGCUGUCUGGGAGCCCAGGAGGCAAGCAGAAAACCGCCAGGACCGCCCCACGCUGGGGGAGCAGCAGGCACGGCCCCUACCAACACCCCCUGGCACCUCGCAAAGCUAGAGCCCGCCCGGUCCCCUCCCCGGAGCGCCCUGGUCUUUGGUUCGUAUUCAGCACAUCUUCAGAAACAGUGAUAGAAAAAUGCUGGUUUCUGACUCCACCAGCUCACGGAGGAGAUGCCAGCUCACGGAGGAAAAUCUGGAAGGUGUUGAAGCAUAGACGCUGGAACAUAAAAUGACUCAUGAUCUCACUGGGAGAAGGGCUGGGAACAUCGUGGGCUCUCUUCUCCCCGCGCUCCUCUCUCCGGGUCUCUGUUUCCCUCAUUCCACGAUGUUUAGAACCAUCGGCGCACUACAUCAGACUAGAGGUCUGGGGUCACCCGACCAUCCCGCCACAAGCCCCUCCGAGGCAUCACUGUGUCCAGAUUUUGCAAACUGCACCUCCUGAAGGGGCUGGGGUCUGUCCACUUCGCCCCAUCUGCCGUGGCAGCACUUCCUCCGUGGUUCGCACCCCCACAGCAGCCUCCUGGGAAGGCACCUCCCUGGGGCCCCUCUCAGUCCACGGUGUGGAUAUGGCAGCAAGCUAUGCAUUUUGCAUAUAUUAGCAAAUCCAUGAGGCAGGUGCUGUCUUCAUUGUACAGAGGUCAGGAAGAUUCCUGCAGCUGCUGAGUUAGUACUUUUAAGAAAGUACUGGAUUCCCUCUCACAAUGGGACUUUGAUUUUUUUAAGAAAAAGGUUUCAUAAGUUUUCAAAUAACCUGGAGCAGUUGAGCAAACUUAAUGUGCAGCGUGGUCCCUGCUGGCUGGGUUUGAGGGGCUGGGUCUCUCUGAGUGGAUGCUGGUGAGGUGCAGAGGAAGAAGAAAAGGUGCCUGAGGGCCUGUGUGGAAGGCCUGUCACACAGCACAUCCUGGGAAAUCUGUCCAGGAAGCAGCCAGGCGGGCAUCAGCCAGGCGGGCAUCAGCAUCUUCACUGUGCAGAUGAGAAACUGAGGCCGCAGAGGUGAAGGGACAUGCCCAGGAUCACUAAGCAGCGUUUCAGCAUCUCUAUAAAACCCUCACAGUCCUAAUAACAUGCAUGCCAAAAUCCUGCUGUCCCAGCCUUUGGUUCCAGCAGUUUGACUUCUGGAAGUCUUUCCCAAGGAAAUAACCUUGAACCCACGGUGUCUGCUGUAGCAUUCUUCAUAAGAGUGACUGCAAACAACCUCUAAGCCCCAAAUCAUGUAUUGGUUAAAAAAAUAAUGAUUCCUUUUCUUGCUUUAACUCAGGUGAUCCCUAGAAACACAGCCAGUGGCCCGGAAGCUGCACUGUUUUGUGCACCGCAGGGAUGGGCACAGAUGGGGCUGCCUGCCCUCCUCCUGGAAGGAGGGAGAACCCAGUCUGGCCUGGAGUGGUCAAGAGCUAACUCUAGACUCAGCAAGACCUACUUCUCUCUCCUGCCCCUACUUCCUUGCUGCUGACCUGGGCAAGUCGCUGAAGCCUCUCCGUGCCUCAGUCUGCUCGUGCGUAAGAUGGGCACAGGGCACACUGCCUACUUGAUUGGGCUCAACCACGUGCAGUAAGUAGCUGGUGUCUGGCAAGAGCCCUCAGGAAACAGUAACCCCAUUAAUUCAAAUGCACGUGCCUGGAACAGGCUCUGGGGGGCCAGCCCGGGAGUCCCACUCCAUGAUGGCCACCCUGGGGCCUGGCAGGCUGGGCUGGCAUCCCAGGCCCACCGGAUACUGGCUGUGCACCCCGGCCAGGCCACACAUCUCUGAGCCUCACUUUCCCGUGUGUGAGAUGAGGCUAGAAGCUGCUUUCUCUUGCGUGUGUGGGGAUUGGCGGUGACAACACGGCCAGGAGCCCAGGCCCAGCCUACGCGAGCAGCCUCGCUCCAGGCCACACGCCCCACUCCUGACAGCUCUGUGCAGCGAGUUCGUGCGCGAGCGGGUGGCUGUCUGCCAGGCGAGGGGCGCGGGUGCCCAAGAGGGCUUCACUGCUUCUGGAAAGAUCACAAGGAAAAACCACCUCCGCGGCGGGACGCUACCCGCGGGCCGCUGCGGUCCCGCUCGCGGCCGGCAGGGGGCAGGAUGUCCCCGCGAGUCGCCCGUGUCUUCGGGUGUCCUCAGGUCACCCCGCACCGCUCGCAGCCUCCGCGCCUAGUUAAAGGGCGACGCACUCAUUUCUGCAAAGAAGGAGCCCAGCGGCCCCUCCCCGGGGAACUCUUUCCAUCAACUCGGGGCCUAAUAAUUUACAUUUAAUUUGUUAGCGGUUUAAUGUUUAAUUUUAAAAGCGAGAUGAUUCAUUACCAUAUUAAUAAAUAAUAACAUUUAUUAUUCUCCUAAUGAGUGUCCAAAAUACAGAAGCAAUUACAUGUUUUAUAUAUUUUCUCGUAAUUUGAGACACCAGAGCGUUAAUUACAGAGACUCACGCGUGGACCCCAUUCUGAUCCAGGGUCCUGAUCCUGCCUUUGUUUCGGUCUCUGAACCAGCCGCCCUCCGGGGCUUCUGCAAUUCCCUCAAUUAGAGGAGAGGAAGUCGUACGUGACGAAGCUGGGGCUCUCACAGAACCCCGGCGCCCCAGACCCAGGAGCUGCAAGACCUCAGCUCCCCGUGCCCACACUCGGAGACCCAGGCCCCUCCCAGUCCCCCGUCUCCUCUGUGCAGGGUUCUUCAGGAAGAAUCGGAAAGAGGCCCCCCGACCCACAACCAGCCUCGCAUUCCCUCCUCCCGCAGGGAUCCAUUGAGCUGGGGGGUGGGACUAUCCUCACUUCACAGAUGGGGAAACUGAGUCCUGGAGAGAGACGCUCCGGUGUCCUCAGCUGGUGAGGGGCAGAUCCGGGAGCCACGUCCCACGCAGUCGGUUGGCCCCAAGCUUGGUUCCUGCCUCAACCCCAGCGCAGGUUGCAGCAGGCCCGCGUAGGAGGGCGGCCUGGGUCUGGACAGAUCCACAGCCGGCCAACGCCCCUGGCUAGCUCUCUAUGGCUUUGCUUCUUCUCUUGACUUGCCAAGUUCUUCUUGUUCAUUGUAGAAAAUGUGGAAGGUGAGGCCGGGAGCGGUGGCUCACGCCUGUAAUCCUAGCACUUUGGGAGGCCGAGGCGGGCAGAUUGCCUGAGCUCAGGAGUUCGAGACCAGCCUGGGCAACAUGGUGAAACACGUCUCUACUAAAAAAAAAAAAAAAAAAAAAAAAAAAAUUUGCUGGGCGUGACGGCAGGCGCCUGUAGUCCCAGUGGGAGUUUGGGGAGGCUGAGGCAGGAGAAUCACUUGAACCCGGGAAGCAGAGAUUGCAGUGAGCCGAGAUCGUGCCACUGCACUCCAAUCUAGCGACAGAGCAAGACUCCGUCUCAAAAAAAAAAAAAAAAAAAAAAGUGGAAGGUGAAAAAAACACGGAGAGACAGCAAAGCUGGCAAUGACAUAGCUCCAAAAAUCCCACUUCUCAGAUAAGAUGCAGGCAGUAAGGGCCUGGAGUUUUAUGUAUCCUGAUGUUUGAAAGGGCUUGGACAGGGCACUUCCUCCCUCCAUAGCUCUUCUGUCCUUAGGAAUCCCUCCCUUCUGGAGGGGAAGGGUGGGGGUUUUCCUGUUUGGUCCCCAGGGAAGGAAGUUCAGAGACAGAGGCCCACUCAGGGCCACCCCCUGGCCUGCACCCCUGAAAUGCAAUUUGGAUAAUAUGGAAAAUUACUAGGAAGAAAAAACGCUAUAAUCCCCCCACCUAGAGAUAACCAGGCGUUCUGGUAUAUACCUAUUGAGGACUUUUUUCCCAAGCAAAUACUCAGAAAGAGACUUCCUCCCAAUAGGCAUGAGAUCUUACUCCACGUGCAGUUUGUCUUAUCUUGAUUUUUUUCCAGUAAUCUUUUAAGAGUUUCCCAUGCCAUGUAGUCAUUCUUCAAAAACCCACUUUGAACAGCUGCGUAAUAUUCCGCUGUGGAGGAGUGCCCUGCAGUGUAGAGAAAUGAGUUAUUUACGCUGAAGUCUGUUAUUACAUGGACAUCUUCCCUUUUCUGACCCUGCAAUGACCACACUCAUAGGUGAGUCUCUCUGGAAAUCCUUGACUACCUCCUUAGGGUCCAUUCUUAGAAGUGGAAUUACUGGGUUAGAGGGCAUGAGUGCCUUGAGGGCGGCUGUCUCCCUCUACCUGCAUGCCUGCCAGGGCAAACCCGUGCAUGCUCCCAGGACAGGCCUGGCAGGGCGUGUCUCCCUGCUGCACCCUUGGUACCCUUGGCAGGGCUAACAUUAUCCUCUAAACCAGGUCUUUGCAGCACUUACCCUUUUCAAGGUGCUACUGUACCUCUCCUUUAAGGAG